rnacentral:rRNA from 1 species
UACGGGGGGGGGCAAGCGUUGUUCGGAAUUACUGGGCGUAAAGGGCUCGUAGGCGGCCAACUAAGUCAGACGUGAAAUCCCUCGGCUUAACCGGGGAACUGCGUCUGAUACUGGAUGGCUUGAGUUUGGGAGAGGGAUGCGGAAUUCCAGGUGUAGCGGUGAAAUGCGUAGAUAUCUGGAGGAACACCGGUGGCGAAGGCGGCAUCCUGGACCAACACUGACGCUGAGGAGCGAAAAGCGUGGGGGAGCAAACAGGG